rnacentral:rRNA from 1 species
CAGUAGCCGCGGUAAUACGGAGGGGGCUAGCGUUGUUCGGAAUUACUGGGCGUGAAGCGCACGUAGGCGGCUUGGUAAGUUAGAGGUGAAAGCCCGGAGCUCAACUCCGGAAUUGCCUUUAAGACUGCCGAGCUAGUAGGUGAGAGAGGUAAGUGGAAUUCCGAGUGUAGAGGUGAAAUUCGUAGAUAUUCGGAAGAACACCAGUGGCGAAGGCGGCUUACUGGCUCAUUCUAGACGCUGAGGUGCGAAAGCGUGGGGAGCAAACAGGAUUAGAUACCCCUGUAGUCCCUGUCUCUUAUAC